rnacentral:rRNA from 1 species
CAGUAGCCACGGGAAUACGGAGGGGGCUAGCGUUGUUCGGAAUUACUGGGCGUAAAGCGCACGUAGGCGGCUUGGUAAGUUAGAGGUGAAAGCCUGGAGCUCAACUCCAGAAUUGCCUUUAAGACUGCCGAGCUAGCAGGUGAGAGAGGUAAGUGGAAUUCCGAGUGUAGAGGUGAAAUUCGUAGAUAUUCGGAAGAACACCAGUGGCGAAGGCGGCUUACUGGCUCAUACUGGACGCUGAGGUGCGAAAGCGUUGGGAGCAAACAGGAUUAGAUACCCCGGUAGUCCCUGUCUCUUAUAC